rnacentral:rRNA from 1 species
UACGGAGGAUGCAAGCGUUAUCCGGAAUGAUUGGGCGUAAAGCGUCCGCAGGUGGCUGUGUAAGUCUGCUGUUAAAGAGUCUAGCUCAACUAGAUAAAAGCAGUGGAAACUACACAGCUAGAGUACGUUCGGGGCAGAGGGAAUUCCUGGUGUAGCGGUGAAAUGCGUAGAGAUCAGGAAGAACACCGGUGGCGAAGGCGCUCUGCUAGGCCGUAACUGACACUGAGGGACGAAAGCUAGGGGAGCGAAUGGG